rnacentral:rRNA from 1 species
AGUGAACGCUGGCGGUAGGCCUAACACAUGCAAGUCGAACGGCAGCACAGUAAGAGCUUGCUCUUACGGGUGGCGAGUGGCGGACGGGUGAGGAAUACAUCGGAAUCUACUUUUUCGUGGGGGAUAACGUAGGGAAACUUACGCUAAUACCGCAUACGACCUACGGGUGAAAGCAGGGGAUCUUCGGACCUUGCGCGAUUGAAUGAGCCGAUGUCGGAUUAGCUAGUUGGCGGGGUAAAGGCCCACCAAGGCGACGAUCCGUAGCUGGUCUGAGAGGAUGAACAGCCACACUGGAACUGAGACACGGUCCAGACUCCUACGGGAGGCAGCAGUGGGGAAUAUUGGACAAUGGGCGCAAGCCUGAUCCAGCCAUACCGCGUGGGUGAAGAAGGCCUUCGGGUUGUAAAGCCCUUUUGUUGGGAAAGAAAAGCAGCAGGUUAAUACCCCGCUGUUCUGACAGUACCCAAAGAAUAAGCACCGGCUAACUUCGUG